rnacentral:lncRNA from 1 species
AGUUCAUAGUGUGAAUUGAUCCCUAAAGUGUUACCAACAUCAGUUCUUUCUUUCUCCCAAAGAAUGAGAGCAGAUAAAAUAACAUCUCCAGCACCUUCUUCUACAUCUCUGCAAAGUGACCAGUCACUGGAUCGACCGAUACUGUUUAACGAUGGAGCUCUGGGGAAUGAAAGGCUAAGACCAGAUGAAGCAAGAUCUCCAGCACCGUCUUCUACAUCUCUAAAAAGUGACCAGUCACUAGAUAGGCCAAUACUAUUUAAAGAUGGUACACAGAUUAUAAGGAGGAGUAAAAGGCUGAGACCAAAUAAAGCAACAUCUCCUGCACCGUCCAGCACAUCUCUGAGAAGUGACCAGUCACUGGAUCGACCGAUACUGUUCAAAGAUGAAGCACCAAGUAUGAGGUAGGUUACAGAGUAAUAAAUAUUUAAAACACACACGCACACAUAUACAGGGCCUA